rnacentral:rRNA from 1 species
UGUCAGCAGCCGCGGUGAUACAUAGGCUUCAAGCGUUGUCCGGAUUUAUUGGGCGUAAAGAGUUCGUAGGCGGUCGAGUAAGUCGGGUGUGAAAAUUCUGGGCUCAACCCAGAGACGCCACCCGAUACUGCUUAACUUGAGUUCGAUAGGGGAGUGGGGAAUUCCUAGUGUAGCGGUGAAAUGCGCAGAUAUUAGGAGGAACACCGGUGGCGAAGGCGCCACUCUGGAUCGACACUGACGCUGAGGAACGAAAGCAUGGGUAGCAAACAGGAUUAGAUACCCUGGUAGUCCAUGCGGUAAACGGUGGGCACUAGGUGUGGGUUUCUAUUAACGAAAUCCGCGCCGUCGCUAACGCAUUAAGUGCCCCGCCUGGGGAGUACGGUCGCAAGACUAAAACUCAAAUGAAUUGACGG